rnacentral:rRNA from 1 species
CUACGGGCGGCAGCAGUGAGGAAUAUUGGUCAAUGGGCGAAAGCCUGAACCAGCCAUGCCGCGUGAAGGAUGACGGCCCUAAGGGUUGUAAACUUCUUUUAUACGGGAAGAAACACCUCUACGUGUAGAGGUUUGACGGUACCGUACGAAUAAGCAUCGGCUAACUCCGUGCCAGCAGCCGCGGUAAUACGGAGGAUGCAAGCGUUAUCCGGAUUUAUUGGGUUUAAAGGGUACGUAGGCGGAAACUUAAGUCAGUAGUGAAAUCCCGCAGCUUAACUGUGGAACUGUUAUUGAUACUGGGUUUCUUGAAUAUUGUUGAGGUAGGCGGAAUAAGUAAUGUAGCGGUGAAAUGCUUAGAUAUUACUUAGAACACCGAUUGCGAAGGCAGCUUACUAAGCAAUUAUUGACGCUGAGGUACGAAAGCGUGGGGAGCGAACAGGAUUAGAUACCCCCGUAGUC